rnacentral:rRNA from 1 species
CAGUUCGGACUGUAGGCUGCAACUCGCCUACACGAAGUUGGAAUUGCUAGUAAUCGUGGAUCAGCAUGCCACGGUGAGUACGUUCCCGGGUCUUGUACACACCGCCCGUCACACCAUGGGAGCUGGUAACACCCGAAGUCAGUAGUCUAACCGCAAGGAGGACGCUGCCGAAGGUGGGAUUAGCGACUGGGGUGAAGUCGUAACAAGGUAAC